rnacentral:rRNA from 2 species
GUCGUGGAGAGGGAAACAACCCAGACCGCCAGCUAAGGUCCCAAAGUAUUGCUAAGUGGGAAACGAUGUGGGAAGGCUCAGACAGCUAGGAUGUUGGCUUAGAAGCAGCCAUCAUUUAAAGAAAGCGUAAUAGCUCACUAGUCGAGUCGGCCUGCGCGGAAGAUGUAACGGGGCUAAGCAAUACACCGAAGCUGCGGCAAUGUCUUUUAGACAUUGGGUAGGGGAGCGUUCUGUAAGCCGUUGAAGGUGAAUCGUAAGGUUUGCUGGAGGUAUCAGAAGUGCGAAUGCUGACAUGAGUAACGACAAAGGGGGUGAAAAACCUCCUCGCCGGAAGACCAAGGGUUCCUGUCCAACGUUAAUCGGGGCAGGGUGAGUCGACCCCUAAGGUGAGGCCGAAAGGCGUAAUCGAUGGGAAACGGGUUAAUAUUCCCGUACUUCUGACUAUUGCGAUGGGGGGACGGAGAAGGCUAGGUGGGCCAGGCGACGGUUGUCCUGGUUCAAGUGCGUAGGCUUGAGAGUUAGGUAAAUCCGGCUCUCUCUAAGGCUGAGACACGACGUCGAGCUACUACGGUAGUGAAGUCAUUGAUGCCAUGCUUCCAGGAAAAGCCUCUAAGCUUCAGAUAGUCAGGAAUCGUACCCCAAACCGACACAGGUGGUCGGGUAGAGAAUACCAAGGCGCUUGAGAGAACUCGGGUGAAGGAACUAGGCAAAAUGGUACCGUAACUUCGGGAGAAGGUACGCUCUUGAUGGUGAAGUCCCUCGCGGAUGGAGCUGACGAGAGUCGCAGAUACCAGGUGGCUGCAACUGUUUAUUAAAAACACAGCACUGUGCAAAAUCGCAAGAUGACGUAUACGGUGUGACGCCUGCCCGGUGCCGGAAGGUUAAUUGAUGGGGUUAGCGCAAGCGAAGCUCUUGAUCGAAGCCCCGGUAAACGGCGGCCGUAACUAUAACGGUCCUAAGGUAGCGAAAUUCCUUGUCGGGUAAGUUCCGACCUGCACGAAUGGCGUAAUGAUGGCCACGCUGUCUCCACCCGAGACUCAGUGAAAUUGAAAUCGCUGUGAAGAUGCAGUGUACCCGCGGCUAGACGGAAAGACCCCGUGAACCUUUACUACAGCUUGGCACUGAACAUUGAACCUACAUGUGUAGGAUAGGUGGGAGGCUAUGAAGACGUGACGCCAGUUGCGUUGGAGCCGUCCUUGAAAUACCACCCUUGUAUGUUUGAUGUUCUAACUUAGACCCAUUAUCUGGGUUGAGGACAGUGCCUGGUGGGUAGUUUGACUGGGGCGGUCUCCUCCCAAAGAGUAACGGAGGAGCACGAAGGUGGGCUAAUCACGGUUGGACAUCGUGAGGUUAGUGCAAUGGCAUAAGCCCGCUUAACUGCGAGAAUGACGGUUCGAGCAGGUGCGAAAGCAGGUCAUAGUGAUCCGGUGGUUCUGUAUGGAAGGGCCAUCGCUCAACGGAUAAAAGGUACUCCGGGGAUAACAGGCUGAUACCGCCCAAGAGUUCAUAUCGACGGCGGUGUUUGGCACCUCGAUGUCGGCUCAUCACAUCCUGGGGCUGAAGUCGGUCCCAAGGGUAUGGCUGUUCGCCAUUUAAAGUGGUACGCGAGCUGGGUUUAGAACGUCGUGAGACAGUUCGGUCCCUAUCUGCCGUGGGCGUUGGAAGAUUGAAGGGGGCUGCUCCUAGUACGAGAGGACCGGAGUGGACGAACCUCUGGUGUUCGGGUUGUGUCGCCAGACGCAUUGCCCGGUAGCUAAGUUCGGAAUUGAUAAGCGCUGAAAGCAUCUAAGCGCGAAGCGAGCCCUGAGAUGAGUCUUCCCUGACAGUUUAACUGUCCUAAAGGGUUGUUCGAGACUAGAACGUUGAUAGGCAGGGUGUGUAAGCGUUGUGAGGCGUUGAGCUAACCUGUACUAAUUGCCCGUGAGGCUUAACCAUACAACACCCAAGGGGUUUUGUA